rnacentral:rRNA from 1 species
AGUGGCGGACGGGUGAGUAACGCGUGAGAAUCUGCCUUGGGGUCGGGGACAACCACUGGAAACGGUGGCUAAUACCGGAUAAGCCGAUUGGUGAAAGAUUUAUUGCCCGAAGAGGAGCUCGCGUCUGAUUAGCUAGUUGGUGAGGUAAGAGCUCACCAAGGCAGCGAUCAGUAGCUGGUUGAGAGGACGAUCAGCCACACUGGGACUGAGACACGGCCCAGACUCCUACGGGAGGCAGCAGUGGGGAAUUUUCCGCAAUGGGCGAAAGCCUGACGGAGCAAGACCGCGUGAGGGAGGAAGGCUCUUGGGUUGUAAACCUCUUUUCUCAGGGAAGAAGCUCUGACGGUACCUGAGGAAUCAGCCUCGGCUAACUCCGUGCCAGCAGCCGCGGUAAUACGGAGGAGGCAAGCGUUAUCCGGAAUUAUUGGGCGUAAAGCGUCCGCAGGUGGCGAUUCAAGUCUGCUGUCAAAGCACGGGGCUUAACUCCGUAAAGGCAGUGGAAACUGAAUAGCUAGAGUGCCGUAGGGGUAGAGGGAAUUCCCGGUGUAGCGGUGAAAUGCGUAGAGAUCGGGAAGAACAUCGGUGGCGAAAGCGCUCUACUGGACGGCAACUGACACUCAGGGACGAAAGCUAGGGGAGCGAAUGGGAUUAGAUACCCC